GAUGAAGAACGCAGCGAAAUGCGAUACGUAAUGUGAAUUGCAGAAUUCAGUGAAUCAUCGAGUCUUUGAACGCACAUUGCGCCCCCUGGUAUUCCGGGGGGCAUGCCUGUCCGAGCGCCAUUGCUGCCCUCAAGCACGGCUUGUGUGUUGGGCCUCCGUCCUCCUCCCGGGGGACGGGCCCGAAAGGCAGCGGCGGCACCGCGUCCGGUCCUCGAGCGUAUGGGGCUUCGUCACCCGCUCUUGUAGGCCCGGCCGGCGCUUGCCGACACAUCAAUCUUUUUUCCAGGUUGACCUCGGAUCAGGUAGGGAUACCCGCUGAACUUAAGCAUAUCAAUAAGCUGAGGA
rnacentral:misc_RNA from 1 species